rnacentral:rRNA from 1 species
CCUACGGGAGGCUGCAGUAGGGAAUAUUGCUCAAUGGGGGAAACCCUGAAGCAGCAACGCCGCGUGGAGGAUGAAGGUUUUCGGAUUGUAAACCCCUUUUGUUAGAGAAGAUAAUGACGGUAGCUAACGAAUAAGCACCGGCUAACUCCGUGCCAGCAGCCGCGGUAAUACGGAGGGUGCAAGCGUUACUCGGAAUCACUGGGCGUAAAGGGCGCGUAGGCGGGAUAGCAAGUCAGAUGUGAAAUCCUAUGGCUUAACCAUAGAACUGCAUUUGAAACUGUUAUUCUAGAGUAUGGGAGAGGUAGGUGGAAUUCUUGGUGUAGUGGUGAAAUCCGUAGAGAUCAAGAAGAAUACUCAUUGCGAAGGCGGCCUGCUAGAACAUAACUGACGCUGAUGCGCGAAAGCGUGGGGAGCAAACAGGAUUAGAUACCCGAGUAGUC